AUACGUAGGGUGCGAGCGUUGUCCGGAAUUACUGGGCGUAAAGAGCUCGUAGGUGGUUUGUCGCGUCGUCUGUGAAAUUCCGGGGCUUAACUCCGGGCGUGCAGGCGAUACGGGCAUAACUUGAGUACUGUAGGGGAGACUGGAAUUCCUGGUGUAGCGGUGAAAUGCGCAAAUAUCAGGAGGAACACCGGUGGAGAAGGCGUGUCUCUGGGCAGUAACUGACGCUGAGGAGCGAAAGCAUGGGUAGCGAACAGGUUUAGAUCCCCUGGGAGUCCAUGCCGUAAACGGUGGGCACUAUGUUUAGGGGUCUUCCCCGACUUGUUUACCCUAGCUAACGCAUUAAGCGCCCCGCCUGGGGAGUACGGCCGCAAGGCUAAAACUCAAAUGAAAUGACGGGG
rnacentral:rRNA from 1 species